rnacentral:rRNA from 1 species
UACGUAGGGGCAAGCGUUGUCCGGAAUCAUUGGCGUAAAGCGCACGUAGGCGGCCCGGUAAGUCCGUUGUGAAAGUCAGAGGCUCAACCUCUGGAGGCCAAUGGAUACUGUCGGGCUAGAGUCCGGGAGAGGGAUGUGGAAUUCCAGGUGUAGCGGUGAAAUGCGUAGAUAUCUGGAGGAACACCGGUGGCGAAGGCGGCAUCCUGGACCGGUAUUGACGCUGAGG